rnacentral:rRNA from 1 species
CGGGUGAGUAACGCGUGGGCAACCUGCCCUGUACAGGGGGACAACAGCUGGAAACGGCUGCUAAUACCGCAUAAGCGCACAGCAUCGCAUGAUGCCGUGUGAAAAACUCCGGUGGUACAGGAUGGGCCCGCGUUGGAUUAGGUAGUUGGUGAGGUAACGGCCCACCAAGCCGACGAUCCAUAGCCGACCUGGGAGGGUGACCGGCCACAUUGGGACUGAGACACGGCCCAG